rnacentral:rRNA from 1 species
UUCGGGUUGUAAAGUACUUUCAGCAGUGAGGAAGGUGGGUAUGUUAAUAGCAUAUUCAUUUGACGUUAGCUGCAGAAGAAGCACCGGCUAACUCCGUGCCAGCAGCCGCGGUAAUACGGAGGGUGCGAGCGUUAAUCGGAAUUACUGGGCGUAAAGCGCAUGCAGGUGGUUGUUAAGUCAGAUGUGAAAGCCCGGGGCUCAACCUCGGAAUUGCAUUUGAAACUGGCAAACUAGAGUACUGUAGAGGGGGUAGAAUUUCAGGUGUAGCGGUGAAAUGCGUAGAGAUCUGAAGGAAUACCGGUGGCGAAGGCGGCCCCCUGGACAGAUACUGACACUCAGAUGCGAAAGCGUGGGGAGCAAACAGGAUUAGAUACCCUGGUAG